rnacentral:rRNA from 1 species
CUACGUGCCAGCAGCCGCGGUAAUACGGAGGGUGCGAGCGUUAAUCGGAAUAACUGGGCGUAAAGGGCACGCAGGCGGUUAUUUAAGUGAGGUGUGAAAGCCCCGGGCUUAACCUGGGAAUUGCAUUUCAGACUGGGUAACUAGAGUACUUUAGGGAGGGGUAGAAUUCCACGUGUAGCGGUGAAAUGCGUAGAGAUGUGGAGGAAUACCGAAGGCGAAGGCAGCCCCUUGGGAAUGUACUGACGCUCAUGUGCGAAAGCGUGGGGAGCAAACAGGAUUAGAUACCCUGGUAGUCCACGCUGUAAGCGCUGUCGAUUUGGGGAUUGGGCUUAAAGCUUGGUGCCCGUAGCUAACGUGAUAAAUCGACCGCCUGGGGAGUACGGCCGCAAGGUUAAAACUCAAAUGAAUUGACGGGGGCCCGCACAAGCGGUGGAGCAUGUGGUUUAAUUCGAUGCAACGCGAAGAACCUUACCUACUCUUGACAUCCAUGGAAUCCAGUAGAGAUACGGGAGUGC